CUCACCCCUACCUCUACGUGACCCCUCCCCUCUAUCUUAUUUUUUUGUCCACAAAGAAAAGGCCCACAGGAACUUUCGAGAAAAAAAGGAGAGGACCACUUUAAAGAUGGUUUGGUCUUUCCAAUUCAGAAAAAAAAAAAAUCCAAUUUGGUUUUCUAGAAAAGGAGAACAAGACGAGAGGCCCACAGGGAGGGGGGAGGAUCAUCUUCCAUUUUUAUUUCCAUUAAAAAGGAACACACACGUGGACAGAGAGAGGGGGAGAGCUGCGAGAGAGGAAGAGAGAGGUGCGAGAGAGUGAGAGAGCAACUGAACGCGCGAGAGAGAGAAAAAAUGGUGACAAUAUCGAAAACGUGAUCUGUCCUGUGUUCUUGGCCGGAAGUAACAGCCCCUCAUCGGAAAAACAUUGUUGUCAUCCAUUUUUUUCUUGUUUCAGUCAGCGUUGGAGCUCACCGGAGUUCUAACGGGACGAUAGUUGUGGAUUCCGACCCUAGCCUGAUCCGAAUCAGUCAAGUUUAACCAGUUUUGGGUUGGAUUCUGGCAAUUUUUUGCCGGACAUCGUCACACAGGUUCUUGGUUUUCUUUUAGAAAGUUUUUGGGUUCAGGCUGUUUGGUUUUUUUUUGUUCGGGUUGGAGAGAAAACAGAACGAAAGGGUGAAACUGAACGUUGGUCAGUUCGUGUUUGAGGUUUGAAUCGAUGGUUCUGAAUCCACGAAGCUCCUCUAUUUGAUUGAAUCAAAGAAACAUUAAGUGUGCUUGUUUGAGUGUUUUAGGAAUCUGUGUUGAUGCACAAAGGCAUUGGUUUUUCAUCAUUAAAAGGGGAAAAUUUGUUAGGAUCUAUGAAGUUUUGAUGAUUGCCAAAUGAAUGAAACAGAUUGCUUAAGAUAUUCCACCCAUAUGGUCCAAUGAUAUACUGCUCAAAAUUAUUGAUAUAUGAAGACAAGGUUGCUUGAAUUCAGGAACAGAUUAGCAUGCAUCUUCUGGUAGAUGAACAUAACGUAUGUUAAGAAAGAAGUUAAGUUUGAUUGUAACACUUGAAGAUAAGAGGAUUUUAAGUUGAACAAGGGGUUUUACCUCAACAAAGAGAUCAACUUCAAGAAGGACUUCUACUUCAAAACAAACACUGAAGAAUGGAGAGUUUCACUGGAGAUAGAAGUCAUAUAUGAUAAAGGACUCUUUAGAGAGUCGUGUUUAAAUAGAGGGAGUGACUCGCAUAGACACUUAUGCAUUUACAAAGCAAAAGGCAACUGGAAAAUUGACUGAGAAGUUCACAACUUGAAGAAACACAUAGGUGAACCUGGUUCUUGUACUUGAAUACUAAGGUGUCUUAGUUUCUAUGUAUAGGUUGGUUCUUGAGUUGUAAUAUUAAUGUAAUUUUAGUUUCAAUGAAGUAUAAACUGAAGUAGGACUAUUGUCAUCAAGUUUAGGAACACUUAUCUUGGGUGGUUGGUGUGUUUUGAAGUAGGAAUUAGAGUUUAUAAUUCCUAGAUUACAUAGUCUUGUAAUUUAUUGUUUGUUGAGGCUCAAAGUUAUUUAGUGACGUUUGGGGUAAAAUCCUAUAGAGGUACAGGUUGUGAUUUUUCA